ACUGUGUUUCUGAAACUAAUGGAGGCAACUAACACGGUGAUCAAAGAUUGAUGAGGGGGCCCAGAGCAGCUGGUUAGAAAGGGUUUUCCUGCAUAG